UUCCAGUAGAACGCAUACGCAAAUUAAUUCUUAAAUCAGUUUUAACAGAAUUUUGCUUUAGUUAGUACGAAAGGCUAUUCACAAUGUAAGUGACAGGUUUUAAAGAUGCUCAGAAAGAUUUUCAGCUAUGAAAGAUGACCGAUUGUGCAUCGUAUUCUCCAUAAACAUCUAGUACGCCAUCUACCAUUAAACACCCUGUAUAAUAUGCAAUACGUCCAAGAUACGAACCGCCAGUAUGAGGAAAUGGGAAAAGGCAAAUAAUAAGUUAGUCAAACUGGAAAAAAGCGUCUCAAUGGACAGAUGAAUGCAGCAUGGAGCAGCAACUUUUCGAAUUUGUUAAUGAACAACCAGGACCGUAAUCCAAAAACUCAAAAACGCAAAACCGAUGGUAAUUAUUUGAAAUCGAAUCGUUUAGGUUAAAAUUGAACACGGCGAUCUUAUAGAAAUAGUGGUUGCUUUUGAUCGAGCUUUAAAAUUAAAUCAAAAAUAUAUUUUACAGCGAAGCCUUUGGGUUUGUCAAAUAAAUCAGAAACCAAAACUAGUAUGAAAGGGAUUAUGACCUUUUUUAUUUUGCUAUUAAUCUUUUUUAGCACUGAGCUAACUUAAAUAAGCCGAUCUGUCUUAGACAUAGUGUAGAUUCAAUUACGAUGUAUUUCAUAAUUUGUUUUUAUUAUGUACUUCUUUAAGCUCAGCACCUCUUUUGAACCAUUUUGUAUCUUUGAGUACCUAAAUAAAGUGACUAUGUUUUUGAAUAA